rnacentral:rRNA from 1 species
UGCANNUCNAGGGGCAGCACGAUUUUCGGAUUGGUGGCGACCGGCGCACGGNUGCNUAACGCGUAUGCAACCUACCCUUUACGGGGGAUAGCCCGGGGAAACUCGGAUUAAUACCCCAUAGUAUAAUUGAAUCGCAUGGUUUAAUUAUUAAAGAUUUAUCGGUAAAGGAUGGGCAUGCGUAAGAUUANCUAGUUGGUAAGGUAAAGGCUUACCAAGGCGACNAUCUUUAGGGGGCCUGAGAGGGUGAUCCCCCACACUGGUACUGAGACACGGACCANACUCCUACNGGAGGCAGCAGUGAGGAAUAUUGGGCAAUGGAGGCAACUCUGACCCAGCCAUGCCGCGUGAAGGAAGAAUGCCUUAUGGGUUGUAAACUUCUUUUAUAAGGGAAUAAACCCACCUACGUGUAGGUGGCUGAAGGUACCUUAUGAAUAAGCACCGGCUAACUCCGUGCCAGCAGCCGCGGUAAUACGGAGGGUGCAAGCGUUAUCCGGAUUCAUUGGGUUUAAAGGGNGCGCAGGCGGCCUUAUAAGUCAGUGGUGAAAUCCUCCCGCUCAACGGGAGAACUGCCAUUGAUACUGUAGGGCUUGAAUCUAGUUGAAGUGGGCGGAAUACGUCAUGUAGCGGUGAAAUGCAUAGAUAUGACGUAGAACACCGAUUGCGAANGCAGCUCACUAAGUUAGUANUGACGCUGANGCACGAAAGCGUGGGGAGCGAACAGNAUUAGAUACCCUGGUAGUCCNCNCCGUAAACGANGGNCACUCGCUGNUGGCNANAUNNUGUCAGUGGCUGANCGAAAGCAUU